GCGGGGGAGCCGCGCUCGGGGCCGGAGCUGCCGGAGCGAGUCCGGAGAGGGGCGCUGGGGCUGGUGAAGGGUCAGGAGAGCAAAUCCCAUGUGGAGCAGCACCCAGAGGGUGUUCAUCAUGAGAAAUGGGGUCUUGGGAGGGCUUUAUCGCUCUCUACAGCUCCCUGAAAGGAGGCUGCGGACCGGUGAGGGUUGGCCUCUUCUCCCAGCCAGAAGAAAGUGAUGAUGCAAGCAUUUACCUCAAGUGCACUCAGCUAAGAGGCUUGGUCAGAAGAGGAACAAGCACGAGUUACAGCCAACUGCCCCAACAGCUCAGCUGCAAGGAGUUUCCUUGGAACACAGAAGGGAGAAAACACACACCUGGGAUUUCCCAUUCCAAAUAAUCCCUCUUGUGCUGUUUAUCACCCAUGGAGACAGAGCCAAGGUUAUAAUUUUCCAGCUUUGGCUUAUGAUAUGAUGGAAUGGCUGGCCAUGGAACUAACCUGGUGUUUGUGCUCAGCACUGCUGUGAGCUCUGGACUUUGGGAGCCAUCUGUGGACAACUAUUAAUAAUUAUGCCUUUUACCUUUUCACUUGGACAAUCAAUCCGUGGAGGAGACACAUUUUGAAAACUUUCAAUUGGUUGUUUGAACCAGUUCCUAUUGCUAGGUCUCCUGCAUGUGUUCCAGGUCUGGCCUAAAGUCAAACAGCUAUUUAGGAAUCCUACCUAAAUCCCAGACACUUGCCCUGUGACUGGAUGCUUCCCAAGCGGCAGGGUGUGGAGGUGUAUGGGAUUUGCAUGGCCAAGCUUUGGUAGCUGGAGGGGGCUGCAGGGGUGGCUUCUGUGAGAAGCUGCCAGAAGCUUCCUCCAUGUCCAGCAGAGCCACUCCCUGGUGGUCCCAAAGCUGGGCAUGCUGCUGGUCAAGGCAGGGCCAAGUAGAAAUGGUACCACCUCAAUGAUAACAUAUUUAAGAGAAAUAACAAAAAAGAGGUUUUGGCCAGUUGUAAUUGCGGCCAGAGGAUAGUGGGGUGAGAACGUGUGAGAGGAUCAGUCCUGCAGACACCAAGGUCAGCGGAGAAGGAAAGGGAAGAGGUGCUCCAGGCACCAGAGCCGAGAUUCCUCUGCAGCCCGUGGUGAGGCAGCUGUGCCCUUGCAGCCCAUGGAGAUCUGCUUCCACAGGGAGGCAGAUCUCCACCUGCAGCCCAUGGAGAAGUCCAAUGCUGGAGCAGAUGGAUGCCUGAGAGGAAGCUGUUACUCUAGGGGAGGCCCAUGGAGGGAGGAGCCCAUGUUGGAGCAGCCUGUCCUGGAACGACUGCACCCUGCACAAGAGUGACCCACAUUGCAGCAGUUUUGGGAUGAUUGUUGCUCAUGAGAUGGAUUAAUGCUGGAGAAGUUAAUGGAGAAUUGUCUUCCAUGGGAAGGACCCCAUGGAUGAUAGAGCAAAGGAAGAGCUCCUCUCUCUGAGCAGCGGGACAAUGUUGGGUGAUGAACUGACCAUUCCACCCAUUCCUUGUUUCCCUGCACCACUGGAGGAGGAG